UCGUGCUAGGCGGGGAGCUAGCGGUUCCCUCACCCCGCAAGCCGCUAUAGCGGGGCGGAACUCCCUCUCGCGGCCUGGCGCUGCUCAAACCGGCCUGGACCGAGCAGUAUUGAUGAUCGGGUCCUGCGCGGCAGCGACCUCCGAACCCCGUCAGGUCCGGAAGGAAGCAGCGGUAAGGGGUAGUCUCUGGGUGCCGCAGGGCAACCUGGUCUGAGCGGCUCGGCCCUGGUACGUUGAGCAGCAGGGUCAGAAGAGGGUGCACGA
rnacentral:SRP_RNA from 1 species